AAAUGGUGUCCGGCACGGAGCUGUCAAUAAAGUUUUGUAUACAAAAAUCAACAACGUCACUGUCAUGGCGGCGCCCGCGGCGGACAGUUGGAGCUGGUUCCCAGCGUUAGCACUGGGAGUUUCCUUCCUGAAAUGUCUGCUUAUCAGCGCCUAUCAUUCCACAGACUUCGAGGUGCACAGGAACUGGCUGGCCAUCACGCACAGUCUGCCGGUGUCCAGGUGGUACCACGAGGACACGUCGGAGUGGACUCUGGACUACCCGCCGCUGUUCGCCUGGUUCGAGUUCGGCCUGUCCCACGUGGCUCAGCACUUCGACAGAAACAUGCUGGUGGUGCAGAAUCUGGACUACGCCAGCCCGUCUACUGUACUCUUCCAGAGGCUGUCGGUCAUCUUCACUGAUGUGGUUUUUAUCUACGCUGCCAGAGAGUGCUGCAGGUGUGUUCAGGGGCAGAAAGGCUCUCGGGACGUUUUGAACCGCCCGUCCUUCGUCCUGGCUGUUCUGCUGCUCUGGAACUUCGGCCUCCUCAUCGUCGACCACAUUCAUUUCCAGUAUAACGGCUUCUUGUUUGGUUUCCUGCUGCUGUCGGUGGCCAAACACCUGCAGUCGUGCCACCUGCAGGGGGCGCUGCUGUUCGCCGUCCUGCUCAACCUGAAGCACAUCUACCUGUACGUGGCUCCGGCCUACGGCAUCUACCUGCUGAGGAGUUACUGCUUCACUCAGGACAACAAAGACGGGUCUGUCAGGUGGAGGAGUUUCAGUCCGCUCCGUCUGCUGGCUCUGGGCGGCAUCGUGGCCUCGGUCUGCGCUCUGUCCUUCGGCCCCUUCAUCGCCAUGGGUCAGCUCCCUCAGGUCCUGUCCCGUCUCUUCCCCUUUAAGCGGGGCCUCUGUCAUGCCUACUGGGCCCCCAACGUCUGGGCCCUCUACAACAUGCUGGACAAAAGCCUGGCGAUGCUCGGUGUUCGUCUGAAGCUGCUGGGGGAGGCGGAGCUUCCUCGAGCCUCCAUGACGGGCGGGUUGGUUCAGGAGUUUCAGCACUCGGUCCUCCCCUCCGUCUCUCCCUCCAUCACACUCGUCUGCACUCUGCUCGCCAUCCUGCCGGCGGUGGCGUCCAUCUGGCGGCGUCCUCGCGGUGCUCGGGGUUUUCUGCGCUGCCUGCUGCUCUGCGCUCUGGGCUCCUUCAUGUUCGGCUGGCACGUCCACGAGAAGGCCGUCCUCAUCGCCAUCCUGCCUCUCAGCAUCCUGGCGGUUGAGAGCAGAGAGGAUGCUGGGAUCUUCCUGGUUCUGACCACCACAGGUCAUUACUCCCUGUUCCCGCUGAUCUUCACCCCCGCAGAGCUGCCCAUCAAAGUGGUUCUGAUGCUGAUGUUCACGAUCUACUCCUUCACUGCUCUGAGGAAACUUUACAGUGGUCAGGGGUCUCUGCUCCGUCCUCUGGAGUCCGUCUACCUGCUGGGACUGGUUGCCGUGGCGAUCGCCUGCGAGAUCCUCUUCCCUCUGUCGCCGUGGCAACAGAAGCUGCCCUUCCUCCCCCUGCUGGUGACGUCGGUGUACUGCUCUGUGGGCGUCUGUUACUCCUUCCUGCGUCUGUAUGUCAGUCUGCUGAGGCAGGAGGAGGAGAAGCCCAAACAGCUGUGAGACGCCGUCCUGUUACCCGAGAGCUCACAGCUCCCACGAGGCUUCGACAUAGCAGUGAUGAUGAUGAUGAUGCCGACAAAGUCCCUCCCCACCCCCAGGUGUGUCUCACCUUAUCUUCUGACCAAUCAGUGCUGGCGGUUCGUCCUGUGAGCAACACAGGACGUGGUUAGAGGGGGAGGAGUCAAGCCGACAGGAAGAAGCGCUGCGUUAGGAAGGAGGGAACCUUAUAAGGUGAACAUCAAACAGUGAGAACACGUUAAAGACGAUGGCGGACGGCAGAGCGGCGUCUUCGUCGAGGACGCGGCUCGUUUUGGUGAGUUGUGUGAACAUCACACGUCCGAGUGUCACUGGAACUCUUUCCAUACGAACAUCAAUAUAAUACCUGAGUUUAACAACAAAAUCUUACUUUUUCAAGAGAUAACAGAAGCCAAACGUUAGAUGUCAUCUAAAACUGAACUGAUUAUUGAUCUUCUGAUUAGUCGAUUUCCGACAGCCAGAAGUUGCUUCUUCAAAAUGUUUUGUCCAAAACCCCGAAGAUGUUCAGUUUACAAUCAAAUAAAACAGAUAAAAGCGGCGUCACGCUGGAGAAGCUGGAAACAGAGAACGAUAAAUUGAUUAUCAGAGCAGCUGCUAAUUAAUUGUCUGGUGAUCGACUAAUCGCCGCAGCUCCAAAUAAAACUGUCUAAAACUGACAAAAUGAUGAUUUUAAAUAAGAAAGUCUCUGAUAAAAGGGUUGAAUCCGACCGUCGUCUGCUUGUACACAAACUCAUGAAACUAAAAAGGCAUUUACAGAAGACCGUGUGAGUUCCCAUCAUGCAUCUGCCACGUUAACAGGCAGACUGCAGCCCGAUUCCAGACCGGAUCCUCUGAGUCUAUUUCCAGACCGGAUCCGUCGUAAUGUUUCAAAGCCUCGGAGACCUGCAGCAUCCCACAAUCCACCGCACACUCGUUUAACAGUGCGUUCACACGGUCGUCAUCAACGCAAACGCUUACUGCGUGACUGUUUAAAACUUCUGUUCAUGGCCGAAUGUGGCGCUAUAAUCCAUAUAUCCUGCCGGGAGGUGUUUAUUAUUUAGCAUCAAAAGGUACAUAAGUCAAAAAGCUUUCAAAAAUGUCGUAAUUGCGACUUGGAUGUUGACGUAAACACAAUUUACAAGUCGGAAACUGGUAAUAACUAUCGCUCCGAUGUGACCCGAACGCAGCAUCAGCCCUCGGGACCGGCUGGAGUCACGAGUCAGGCGCGGCAGCGGGCAGCGGUCAGCGGUCAGCGCAGGGUUGUGCGGCUCGGUAAGAGGCCUGCAGCGAUCGAUUAUUCGGAUCGAUUGAUCGGAUAAGAAAUACUUUUGCUUUAUUAAAGAGAAAUAGUAAAUAUGCAAAAGACAUAAUUUUAAGACAGGUCUCUUAAAGUGAACAACUAACUGGUUUCCUUUUUAGAAAAAUCUACAUUUUUAUUGCUUAAAUUGAAUACAGCGAUAUUAUCUGUCGAAACUGAACCCGUCCUGUGCCUUUAAGUGUCGCGUUACAUUCUGGGUUUUAAAGAAAA